rnacentral:lncRNA from 1 species
GGUGGAAGAUGGUGGGAGGUGGAAGAUGGUGGGAGGGGGAAGUCUCACUGUCAGGCCUCUGAGCCCAAGCCAAGCCAUCGCAUCUCCUGUGACUUGCACCUAUACGCCCAGAUGGCCUGAAGUAACUGAAGAAUCACAAAAGAAGUGAAAAGGCCCUGCCCCGCCUUAACUGAUGACAUUCCACCAUUGUGAUUUGUUCCUGCCCCAACUUAACUGAAUGAUUAACCCUGGGAAUUUCCUUCUCCUGGCUCAGAAGCUCCCCCACUGAGCACCUUGUGACCCCCGCCCCUGCCCACCAGAGAACAACCCCCUUUGACUGUAAUUUUCCAUUACCUUCCCAAAUCCUAUAAAACGGCCCCACCCCUAUCUCCCUUUGCUGACUCUCUUUUCGGACUCAGCCCACCUGCACCCAGGUGAAAUAAACAACCAUGUUGCUCACACAAAGCCUGUUUGGUGGUCUCUUCACACGGACGCACAUGAAAUUUGGUGCCGUGACUCGGAUCGGGGGACCUCCCUUGGGAGAUCAAUCCUCCGUCCUCCUGCUCUUUGCUCCAUGAGAAAGAUCCACCUACGACCUCAGGUCCUCAGACUGAUCAGCCCAAGAAACAUCUCACCAAUCUCAAAUCCGACCCAUCUGACCUCUCCCCUCCUCGCCUGGCCAAGCUAGGUCCCAAUUCUUCCUCAGCCUCCACUCCUCCACCCUAUAAUCCUUUUAUCGCCUCCCCUCCUCACACCUGCUCCGGCUUACAGUUUCAUUCCGUGACUAGCCCUCCCCCACCUGCCCAGCAAUUUACUCUUAAAAAGGUGGCUGGAGCUAAAGACAUAGUCAAGGUUAAUGCUCCUUUUUCUUUAUCCCAGAUCAGAUAGCGUUUAGGCUCUUUUUCACCAAAUAUAAAAACCCAGUUCAUGGCUCGUUUGGCAGCAACCCUGAGGCGCUUCACAGCCCCAGACCCUAAAAGGUCAAAAGGCCGUCUUAUUCUCAAUAUACAUUCUAUUACCCAAUCUGCUCCCGACAUUAACUCCAAAAAUUGGAAUCUGGCCCUCAAACCCCACAGCAGGACUUAAUUAACCUCACCUUCAAGGUGUACAAUAACAGAAAAAAGUUGCAAUUCCUUGCCUCCACUGUGAGACAAACCCCAGCCACAUCUCCAGCACACAAGAACUUCCAAACGCCUGAACUGCAGCAGCCAGGCGUUCCUCCAGAACCUCCUCCCCCAGGAGCUUACUACAAGUGCCAGAAAUCUGGCCACCAGGCCAAGGAAUGCCUGCAGCCCAGGAUUCCUCCUAAGCCGUGUCCCAUCUGUACGGGACCCCACUGGAAAUCGGACUGUUCAACUCACCUGGCAGACACUCCCAGAGCCCCUGGAACUCUGACCCAGGGCUCUCUGACUGACUCCUUCUUGGCUUACCGGCUGAAAACUGACGCUGCCUGAUCGCCUCGGAAGCCCCGUAGACCAUCACGGACGCCGAGCUUUAGAAGAAGGCAGGAAUGUCAGGCCUCUGAGCCCAAGCCAAGCCAUCGCAUCCCCUGUGAUUUGCACCUAUACGCCCAGAUGGCCUGAAGUAACUGAAGAAUCACAAAAGAAGUGAAAAGGCCCUGCCCCGCCUUAACUGACGACAUUCCACCAUUGUGAUUUGUUCCUGCCCCAACUUAACUGAGUGAUUAACCCUGGGAAUUUCCUUCUCCUGGCUCAGAAGCUCCCCCACUGAGCACCUUGUGACCCCCGCCCCUGCCCACCAGAGAACAACCCCCUUUGACUGUAAUUUUCCAUUACCUUCCCAAAUCCUAUAAAACGGCCCCACCCCUAUCUCCCUUCGCUGACUCUCUUUUCGGACUCAGCCCACCUGCACCCAGGUGAAAUAAACAACCAUGUUGCUCACACAAAGCCUGUUUGGU